GGCCGCCUGGCGAAAUGGCAUCGCGUCUGACUACGAUCGACCACGUGAUAUCGAUCAGGUCACGUGAUCUCAAUCAGGAGAUUGCAGGUUCGACCCCUGCGGUGGUCA